rnacentral:lncRNA from 1 species
AGUAAACGUGUCAUCAUCCUCAUUUCAUAGAUGAAGAAACAGGCAAGUCAUGUGGCUGGCAAGUGGUAAAGCUACAUUUAGCACCCACACAUUCUGGUUCUGGAGUCCACAAGCUUAACCACCACUUAAAAUUGCUGCUACUAAAAAAGAAUUCUCCAGAAAAAUAUGAGAUGCCCCCAAACAAAAGAAGAAAAAGAAGGAGGAAAAAAGGAUAGAGUCAACCAGAUGACUCAAACUUGUUCUGGCUCGAGUUUACCAAUUGCUUACUUUGAAGUAUAACACACGUACAGAGAAGCGCACAAAAUACUAAUGUGCAGCUCAGUGAGUUACGCAGAGUGAACCCCUGUAUAACCACACCAAGGUCAGUAAAAAGAUCAUUGUCUGCUUUCAACUCCUACCUCCUCCCUCCUUCCAAAAACUCCAUUGUUCUGACUUCUUGCAUUAUCCACUGUGGCCCGAACAGGCUGCCAAAAGCACUGCUCAGCCUUUCAUCACCUCUUAUGGAAUCAGGAGACACGGCAGUGGGAAAUGCCAGGCUCAACUCUCUGUGUCACUUUCUUCUCCUGAAUCUUGGUCCUUAUUUAGUCUGCCAUCACUGGAAGAUCAUAAUAUUUUAAAUCAAAGCACAGAGGUCGUAUAGAAAAUAAUGACUACUUUUUACAACAUAACUAUAAAUAGAAAUAUGUUGAUUUAUGUGUUUUCAAGUUAUUCUUUCUUCCCAUUUACCAAUAUUUGGUCUUCAGUUUUGAUCCUUAUAAUUAAAUAUGAAGAUAUUGUCAUACUCAGAACGUGUAUACCCAGAUGCACAUAAAGAAGAGGAAGGAGAAUGGGUCUGAAGAUGAUGGUAAUGCUUUUGAGGUGUAUUUCGUAUAGAAUUAAUUUUUCUUCAGCUCAAGAAGAGAACAUAGCAGAGACGUAUUUAAUUUCGAAUUUAACUAAGGUUUUACUUUUGACUUCUCCUUUCAUGUUUGUUCUAGGUAUUCUUAGGAAAAAGUUUAUAAUCUAACCACACAUUUAGUUAGUGCAAUAUAUUAUAUAUUAUUCUCUUCUGACAAAUUAAUUUAUCGUAAAGUUAUUAAGUAUCAGUUCCUCCAUAGAACAUUUAAAAUAUGGUUCAGUUUGGGAAGCAUGGAUUCACAUAAAUAUUUUCAGGAAAAAACAUACUUGUGUUUUAUAAUUAAACAAUAAUUUUGAUUAUUACACCCCUUACAUUCCUAGGAAUUUAAGUGUUACAUACAGGAAGAGAACCUGGAAUACACAGUCACACUGAAAAAUAGCAGAUCCUCUCAGGUCUCAAUGAGAUUGUGUUACUUGUCAUAUAGAACUGUAUUAAUGACAACCCAAUUUUCUUUUCAUUUAAUAAGAAGAUUAACUUUAUUCCAAGAAUAAGCAGGCUACCCUAAGUAGGACAUUGACUGAUUUGCAGAUGUUGAACCAUCCCUGCACCCCUGGUAUAAAUCCCGCUUGAUCAUGGUGUAUAAUCUUUUCAUUGUGUUGCUGUAUUCAGUUUGCCAAUACUUUGUUGAGGAUUUUUGCCUCUGUGUUCAUCAAUGAUAUUGGCCUGUAAUUUUCCUUCUUUGUGUUGUCCUUGUCUGGCUUUGGGAUCAGGGUGAUGCAGCGUUGUAAAAUGUGUUAGGAAGUGUUCCAUCUUCUUCAACUUUUUGGGAUAGUUUGAGAAAGAUAGGCACUAAUCUUUGAAUGUUUGGUAGAAUUCUCCAGAGAAGCCAUCUGGUCCUGGUCUUCUAUAUUUUGGGAGGUUUUUGAUUAGUGUUUCAAUCUCUUUACUUGUGAUUGGUCUAUUCAGAUUCUCUAUUUCUUUUUGAUUCAGUUUGGGGAGGUUGUAUGAAUCUAAGAAUUUAUCCAUUUCUUCUAGAUUGUCCAAUUUGUUGGCAUAUAAUUUUUCAUAGUGUUCUCUUAUAAUCCUUUGUAUUUCUGUGGUAUCCAUUGUGUUUCUUCUCUUGCAUUUCUAAUUUUAUUAUUUGAGCCUUCUAUUUUUUUCUUAGUGAGUCUUGCUCAUGGUUUGCCAAUUUUGUUUCUCUUGUCAAACGACCAGCUCUUUGUUUCAUUCAUCUUUUUUAUUGUUUUUUCAAUUUCAGUUUCAUUUAUUUCAGCACUGCUUUGUAUUAUUUCCCUCCUUCUGCUGACUUUGGGCUUUGUUCUUCUUUUUCUAAUUCUGUAAGUUGUAGCUUAAGAUAAUUUGAGAUUUUUCUUAUUUGUUAAGGUGGACCUGUAGUGCUAUGAAUUUCCCUCUUAGGACCGCUUUUGCUGCAUCCCAUAUGAGUUGGUAUGGUGUAUUUUCAUUUUCAUUUGUCUCCAGAUAUUUUUUGAUUUCUCCUUUAAUUUCUUCAGUGAUCCAUUAGUUGUCCAGUAGCAUGUUGUUUUGUCUCCACCUAUUUGUCACUUUCCCAGCUUUCUUCUUGUAGUUGAUUUCUACUUUCAUAACAUUAUGGUCAGAAAAACUGUUUCAUAUGAUUUCAGUCUUCUUAAACUUAUUGCAGCUUGCCUUGUUUCCCAACAUAUGGUCUAUUCUUGAGAAUGUUCCAUGUGCACUUGAGAUGAAUGUAUAUUCUGCUGUUUUUGGAUAGAAUGUUCUAUAUAUAUCUGUUAAAUUCAUCUGGUCUAGUUUUUUGUUUAAAUCCACUAUUUCUUUGUUGACUUUCUUUCUGGAUGAUCUAUCCAUUGAUGUAAGUGGGGUAUUAAUGUUCCUUACUAUUAUUGUGUUCUUGUUAAUAUCUCCUUUUAGGUUUGUUAAUAGUCUCUUUAUGUGCUUUGGUGCUCCUGUGUUGGGUGCAUAUAUAUUUAUAAGUGUUAUGUAUUCUUGGUGGAGUGUCCCUUUUAUAGUUAUAUCCUGUCCCUCUUUUUCUCUCAUUGUCUUUUUUAUCUUGAAGUCUACUUUGUCUGAUAUAAGUAUGGCAACACCUGCUUUCUUUUGUUUACUAUUAGCUUGAUGUAUCCUCUUCUAUCCCUUUGCUCUGAGGCCGUGUUUGUCUCUAGAGCUGAGAUGUGUUUCCUGGAGGCAGCAUAUUAUUGGGUCUCAUUUUUUAAUCCAACCAGCCACUCUGUGUCUUUUGAUUGGAGAAUUCAGUUCAUUUACAUUUAGAGUGAUUAUUGAUAUAUGGGGGCUUAAUGCUGCCAUUUUAUCACUUGUUUUCCAGUAGUCUGUAUUUCUCUUGUUUCUCAUCCCAUGUAUUUCAGACUACCAAUUCAGUUUUGUAGUUCUCUAUAGUGGUUUUCUCAUUAUUUAUCAUUUGUGUCUCUGUUCUGAUUAUUUGUUUAGUGGUUACAUGAGGUUUGUACAAAAAAUUUUGUAGAUGAGAUAGUUUGUUUUCUGACAGCCUUUUAUUUUCUUAGUCUAAGCCAAUGCCAUCCCUCUCCUCUUCCUUUCUAAGUUGUUGUCAAAACUUAUUCCAUCUUGUGUUGUGAGUUUGUGGUUAAAAUGACAAGGUCGUAUUUAUUUUUGAUGUUUUCCUUCCCUUUAUCUUUAAUGUUAUAAUUAAAUGUUUGCUAACCUGUUCUGAUAGAGAGCUGCAAUUUUCUGAUUUUGUCUAUCUAUUUAUCUCCUUCUCAAGGCUUUUUAAACCUUUUCUUUUUUUUCAGGUAUGAGGGCCUCCUUGAUCAAUUUUUCUGGGGGGGGGAGGUUCUUAUGGCAAUGAACUCCCUCAGCUUUUGUUUAUCUGGGAAAGCUUUUAUUUCUCCAUCAUAUCUGAAGGAUAUAUUUCUCUGCAUAGAGUAUUCUUGGCUGAAAGUUUUUGCCUUUCAGAAUUUCGAAUAUAUCAUUCCACUCUCUCCUAGCCUAUAAGUUUUCUACUGAGAAAUCCACUGAAACCCUGUUGGGGGUUCCUCUGUAAGUUAUUUUCUUCUGCCUUGCUGCCUUUAAUAUUUUUUCUUUGUCAUUGACUUUUGCCAGUUUUACUACUAUAUGCCUUGGAGAAGACCUUUUUACAUUGAUAUAAUUAGGAGUUGUAUUAGCUUGUUUUACUUGUAUUUCCAGCUCCUUCCCAGGUUUAGUAAGUUCUCAGCUAUUAUUUCUUUGAACAAGCUUUAUGCUCCAUUCUCCCUCUCUUCUCCUUCUGUAAUAUCUAUAAUCCUUACGUUGCAUUUCCUAAUUGAGUCAGAUAUUUCUCAGAUAAUCUCUUCAUUUCUUUUUAGUCUUAGUUCUCUCUCCUCCAUAUGAAGACGUUCUAUACUUCUGUCUUCUAGACUGCUAAUUCUGUCCUCCACAAUUUCAGCUCUAUCAUUCAGGGACUCCAGAUUUUUCUUUAUCUCAACUGUUCUGUUUUUCAUCUCCAACAUUUCUGAUUGGUUUUUCUUUAUAGUUUCAGUCUCUUUUGUGGAGAAUUCCCUCUGUUCAUUAAUUUUUUUCUUGAUUUCAUUGAACUGUCUAUCUGUAUUUUAACUCAUUGAUUUUUUAAAUGAUAGCUAUUUUGAAUUCUUUGUUAUUUAGAUUGUAAAUUUCUCUGCCUUCAGGGUUGAUUUCUGGGUGCUCGUCAUUUUCCUUCUGGUCUGGAGUAUUAAUAUAUUUCUUCAUACUAUUUAAUGGUGUGGAUUUGUGCCUUUGCAUAAUGAUAGUAUCUGGUCACAGCUUCCACCUGUCACCACUGGGGUAGGUGGUCAGGAACAAUGGGUCUGAGCCCAUUGUGAUCCCUGGCAUGUGUGCCUAUCCUUAGAAUCUAUGCUGAUAGGGCCUGUCUACGAUUUCUGGCUAGCUUGCUCACAGCUGCUGCUUUUCUAAUGUAUGCAUGGGUGCUCUGGCUGACCAGCUGAGCUAGUGCAUCAGGUGGGGGAAGGGGCGCUUUCUUUCAUGCAUGAUCCCAGGGGCAUUUAUGUGCUGCCCUUGCUAUCUGCUCUCCUGGGGUCCUGGCUUGAUGAAGACCCCCUUGUAAUAUCUUAGCCUCCUUUUUAAAAAAAUUUUUUUUUAAAGAUUGGCACCUGAGCUAGCAACUGUUGCCAGUCUUCUUUUUUUUUUUAAAGGCUGGUACCUGAGCUAACAACCAUUGUCAAUCUUUUUUUUUCUUUCUGCUUUUUCUCCCCAAGUCCUCCCAGUAUAUAGUUGUAUAUUUCAGUUGUGGGUCCCUCUAGUUGUAUAGCUUAGCCUCCUUUGUGUGGGGUUUUCCCAAGGGCUGUGAGGGAAUUUGGAAAGCAAAGGUGUUCCUGCAAAGAGCUGCCCCUCCUUUCUCUUUUCUCAGAGCUACAUGUGGUUCUGAACUCUGGCUUGCUGCCAUUGGGGGUGGGAGAGGAGAUUCCUUUACCUCCUUCUAUUUCCUCCUGGAGGGUCCUGCACCUCCACCUUCAGAUGUACGGCUGCAUGGAUCUCUCAGACGUCUUUUGUGUUGUGUGAAUGUUCUCUAUUGGUUUAUGAAUGUCUUUUCACUGUAUCAUAGCGGCACAAGUCUAAGGGAAGAGCUCACUCCACCAUGAUGCUGACAUUACUCUAUAGUUUUGCAUUUUACAUUUAGGUCAAUGAUCCAUUUGACUUAAUUUUUGAUGAGGGUAUGUCAUCAUCUACAAAGACUCUAGUCUCUGUCUAGAUUCUUUUUUUGCAUGUUGAUGUCCAAUUGUUCCAGCAGCAGUUGCUAAAAGACUGUCUUUGCUCCACUGUAUUGCCUUUGCUCCUUUCUCUAAGAUCAGUUGACUAUAUUUCUGUAGGUCUCUUUCUAGCUCUAUUCUGUCCCUUUGAUCUAUCUAUUCUUUUACCAAUAUCGUACUGUCUUGAUAACGGUGACUUUAUAGUAAGUGUUGAAAUCACAUAGUGUCAAUCCUCCAACUUUGCAUUAUAUGUCUAAAAGUCUUUUCCAAGUUGCUCUAACACCACUAAAUCUUUUGUAUUUCAGUGGCUUCACGCAUGUCUAUUUUUUCAUCCUUUCUGCCCUUACAAAGGCUGUUCUGACCACCUUGAGUCACUUCACUCUCUUUUUUUACUUAAUAAUCUGUAUUGAAAUUUCUAACCAAGUUUUUUUUUAAAUUUACAUGUGGCAAACUUCUUCUUUGAACACAUCUCACUCUCAUUAGAAAGACAUGUCAUUAAAAGUGAGGAAAAUCAACAAGUAUUCAGAAUAAUAGCCUGAACUUGCAUAUGUCCCUGGGGCUUGCACUAGUCUCACUUUCCCAUCCAUUUCACUGCACCUGAUCUCUUGUCUCUGCAUGUCCCUAAUCAGACUCUUCUCCUUUCUGCCAACCCUUGAAUUGGCUAAUUCAUACUCUAAAAGAGUAAGGUAAGACCUAAUUUCUCCUUCUACCUCCAAGCGGGCUGUCGUCUCCCUGCAUUGUGCUCUAACUCUAUUCAUUUCUGUCUUAUUUCAUUUACCCUACUGAGCUUAAUUACAGCAGUAAGCUUGCAAUUUUCUGAGGAGAAGGACAGUUUCUUAUUAAUUUUUAUAUUCACUAACAACCAUCCCAGAGGUUAGUACAUAGAAAGUGCUCUAUAAUGUAUGGAUGUUGAAUGCCUGAUUAGAAAUAGAGCUUCUGAAAACUGACACCGUCUGGGUCUCUGAAAGUCUAAUUGUCCUUCAAAUUGCUUUCUGGUACUUGAAAAGAUAGACCAGUAGCCUGGGCAUUCAAUGGCAACCCUGUAGCUUCAGCAUACCCUGUCUGAUUUCUCCCAAGUGAGCACACAGGAGGUGGGACAGGUUUUUGUUUCUUUUUCUUUUAUGUUUAUGUUUCAUUAAUUCAUUUUGAAUCCCUGAGUGGCUUGGAGAAAGUGAUUUAAGUGGGCCAUAUACUUUUCCAUCAAUUUGUGUAUCAUUUAUUACAUUUUAACCAAAUAGAUUUUUUUUCUCUUUUCAUGGAAUUGAAAUAAUUAUACAAUUACAAAGCAGAGAGCAAAGUAAAGCUAUUUAUUUUGACCACCUGCUGUACCCCAGGCUCUGAGCUAGGCACUCUGGUUCCUUUAUCUCAUUCAAUUCUCAUGAUACCCCAAAGAGAAGUACAGUUAUUACCAUUUUAAGAUUUAAAACAAAAGCACAACAAACAUCUGAAGCACAGUUGUGGUACUUGUAGUGUGAGUGCUGUCUGCCUUCUUAAACGAAUAUAACCAAAGGCAGCCAUAAGUCUUGCAAGUAAGGAAUUCUUUUAGAACAAUGCAAUGAUUCCUUGUCAUUGCCAGGUCAUAAAUACCAUGAAAUGAGAUUUCUUACAAGGUCAUUUUAUUUUGAGUUUUAGUCUUUUAUGAAAAUGGAAUUUAUUAAAAUUUAAACAAUUCAGAAGCUAAGAGAUUGAAAGAAGAAUAGAGAUGGAUGGAGAUGGAGAAAGAGAGAAAGCAUAAUUUGUUUUAGGGAGAAUAACUAGUUGGUCAUAUAGCAUAGUCUCUGAUAUUCACAUAGUCUUAGAUUUGAAAUCUUGGAGGGUCAGUGGCAUAUAUACACACAUGUGUGCACAAACACUCACGUCAAUGAAAUAUUUGGGGGGGAGGAUUAGUGUCGAUCUAUCUAGCCACCUGUUUACCUAUCGCUGAAAAUCUUUAACAGCAUGAUAACUGAAAUUAACAAACAAUUGCUCCUGGGGUUGAAACUCUCAAAUAGGAGAUGAAAUCACCUAAGUUGCUAUAACCUGGGUAAAAGUCUUUCUUACCUCACCUGCCAUCAGUUUCCUCAUUUGUAAAUUAAGUGGUUUCAAUAAAUCCCCUCUGAGGAUAUUGCUACUUAAAUAUUUUGUGAUAUUUAAAAUUUUCAGCUCUGUCCACGUUUGUUAAUUUAACAGAGAUAUGACUAGUUAGAAGAAAAUCAAGAGAAGAAUAUAGGAAUUACUAUAAUGUAAAAACUGGAAAAUCAGUCCUUUAUUAGACAAUGAACUAUGUAUGAAGUCAUUUCUGUUUCUUCGCUAUUUACAUCUAUUUUAAUGGUCUCUUUGUUUUUAUAUUUGUGAGCAGAUUUCAAUCAUAUGAAACUUUAAAGAUUUUCCCACAGAAGUAUUGCAAAUUCUUUUAAUUCUGUGAAAAACUGAAUUCAAAACUGGAAUUAUUAAAAUUAAUUUUAAACCUCUCAAGAUAUAGUUCUAAGCAGAUGGGAGAAUAUUUAGGCUAUUAAACCUAAUCCAUAAAUCAUCAUCUAGGAUAAUGAGACUUUAAUGUUCUCUUCAAUUUUUCCAUUAAUUUAAAGUGUCUAGGGCUUUCAGAUAAGUUAUUUUGGUACAAUAACUAUGGAAAAAGCACUACUCUGUUGCUAUGGAAAACUUAUUCCUUAAAUGUGUGUUUUCCCUUCUGUUUGAGAUCUCUAAUUCCUUUUCCAUACUCCUAUAAUCUUACAUACCAAAGUAUGUAAGUAUCUCAAUUUUUGUUUUAUUAUGAUUAUUGAUAUAUAAAAAUACAUAUCAGAGGUUAUGGUAAUAUUAAAAAUGAAAAAGAAAAUAAAAGUUUAGCCUUCUUUAAGAUAUUUUAAUAUUGAAGCUACCAAGAAUCAGAGCCCAUCAUUCAUUCUAUAAACUACUGAAUCACUUAUAUGUCAUGCAUGAUCCAGAUACGAUCAUGGCCUGAUUUAUGUAACUUGAUUGAAAAAAUUUGAAAUUUGAAUGUUAAGUGCAAAAGUUAAGCCUUCCAGAAGUGAUGUAUGUCUCUGAAUAUUUAGUACCACAAGAUGCUCCAAGAAGAUAAGUUUGAGAAAUGCUUUCUUAGAGAUUCAGCGUGUACAUUACGUGUGUCUUACAGUUAUGACAGCUGUUUAGCCUAGUUUAAUACAAUGCUUACUAACUUGAUUUUGAAACAGUUAUUUUAAUAACUAUUAGCCUAUUUUAGAAUUUUUUCUACCAAACUCACUCUGAGAAAUAUCGCAAAAUGCAAUCAUCCAAACUUUAAUCAUGACAUAAUUUCCAACCUCCUCCUGUAAAGAUUUGUAAAUAUUUUGAUAAAACAGUUGCAUAUACUUUUAAAAUGUGAACAAGUAGAGUCAUAUCUAGAUUUCCUAUCUUCCAGUCACGUAGUAUGACUGGUUUCCAAAAAUAAAGCCAAAAGAUUGAACAUAAUUUUUUGGAGAAUAACUUGACAAUUGAUGGAUUAUGUAACUUGAGAAUCUACCCAAUAAAAAUACCAAAAAAUAAAAUAAGUAUAUUUUAAAAGCAUAGUGGAAAUUUCAGCAAAGUCCUCAUGAGUCACAAAUGAAGGGGGCAUGCAGAACAGAGUUUGUUGGGUUGAGGUUGUGGGCCGGUGAAACCCAAGGAGAAAAUCUCCAAGGUGAUUUUGUUGGAGCCCUGGAAAAGGGGGCUAAGGGACAAGUAGCGGGUAAUUUGGGUUUAAAUAGCUAUGUAGGUACAAGGUCUGUUGAUGAGGAGGAUAUGGAAUCAAACUCUCCCUAUAUCUGGGACCAAUGGAGGUCUACACCUCGGUGAAAUGUAGCUGAGAACAAUAUGCUCAUUUGGACAGUGCGAUGAUAGGAAACUUGUUGGGAUAGGCAUACGCUCAGUAUAGAAGUAGUCUUACCCGCUGAGGAUUUGUUAACAUGGAUCAGCCCUCACAUAAGUUUGGGUUUUGAGUUAUGAACUACCUGUGAGGUCCGGGAAACCCCAGGCCAAGAAAUUAAUGUAAUAAGCGUCUCCAUUUCAUACCUACUAGGAUGGGUAUAAUCAAUAAAAAGGAAAGUCACAAGUGUUAGCACAGAUAUGAAGAAAUUGGAACACUUGUGCAUUGUGGCGGAAAUGUCAAAUGGUGCAGUUACUGUGCAAAACAGUUUAGUGUUUCCUCUAAACAUAGAAUUACCAUACAACGCAGGAAUUCCACUCCUAGGUGUAUAUCCACAAGAACUGAAAGCAGAGACUUGCACAAAUAUUUGUCUACCAAUGUUUAUAGCAGCAUUAUUCAGAAAGGCUGAAAGGGAGAAACAGCCUAAGUGUCCGUCAACAGAUGAAUGGAUAAACAAAAUGUGAUAUAUACAUACAGUGAAAUAUUAUUCAGCCAUAAAAAGGAAUGAAGUUUUGAUAUGUGCUACAACAUGGAUGGCCCUUGAAAACAUUAUGCUAAGUGAAAUAAGCCAGACAGAGAAGGACAAGUAUUGUAUGAGCCCAUUUAUUUGAGAUGCCUGAAAUAGGCAAAUUCAUAGAGACAGAAAGUUGAAUAGGGGUUACUAGGGGUCGAGGGAAGGGGGAAUGUGGAGUUAUUGUUUAUUGGAUACAGUUUAUGUUGGCUAUGAUGAAAAAGUUUUGAGCAGAGAUCGUGCUCCUAGUUAGACAACACUAUGAAUGUAUUUAAUGCCACUGAACUGUAUAUUUACAGAUGGUUAAAAUAAAUAUUUUGUUAUGUAUAGUUUACCAAAAUUUUUUUUUAAAAAGUAGUCUCAUACUGGUGGUUUUACCUGAAGCACUUGAAGGGAACAUACACAACUGUUUUCCAAAAGUUGUAACAUUUUACCCUCCCACUAGCAACAUGUGAGAGCUCUGGCUGCUCCACAUUCCCACCAAACCUUGGUAUUGCCAUUGUUUUUAAAUUGAGCCAUCCUAGUACAUGUGUAGUAGUAUUGCAUUUUGGUUUUAAUUUUAAUUUCCUUGAUGAUUAAUGAUGUUAAACACUUUUCAUGCUUAUUGGUCAUUUGCGUAUUUUCCUUUGUGAAGUAUCUCUUCCAUCUUUUGCCAAUGUUUUCAAUUUAGGUUAUUUUAUUAUUAGUGAUUUUUAGGACUUUGUAUAUUCUGGGAAAUAAGUCCUUUGCGUGAUAUAUAUUUUGCAAAUAUUUUCUACUUAUCUGUGGCUUGUUUGUUAAUUUUCUUAAUGGUGCCUCUGGUGAUCAGAAGUUUUUAAUUUGAAUGAAAUUCAAUUUAUUGUUUUUUUACGGUUCGUUCUUUCUGCCCUAAGAAGUGUUUGCCUAACUCAAGUUGGCGAA